GCGUCAUAUUGUUUUGGUCCUAGCAAGGUAAACACUACGUGGACAAGAUAAGAAAACAGAAAGUUAGAUGCUCAGAUCUACCACCAACUAAAAGGUACUACAUUUUGAGACACAUGAAGAUAUUUCUACAGCGAACAAAGAUAACUGACUACAUAUAAGCUACAAAGGAAAUCAGAAGAAAAGGAUCCAGUAGAUGUAGACAAUAGUAUAGUCUAAAACCCUAUAAAAAGAAGAAAGAAAGAAAGAAAGGUAAAUUUAAUUUGUACUACAUGGCGGUGAGAAACUGAAACUAUACGGGAAAAAGUGCAUCUUCGAACCAGCCAC